CCUACGUGUGGCUGCAGUGGGGAAUAUUGCGCAAUGGGCGAAAGCCUGACGCAGCGACGCCGCGUGAGGGAUGAAGGUCUUCGGAUCGUAAACCUCUGUCAGCAGGGAAGAACGGUCACUGUGCUAAUCAGCAGUGAAUUGACGGUACCUGCAAAGGAAGCACCGGCUAACUACGUGCCAGAAGCCGCGGUAAUACGGAGGGUGCGAGCGUUAAUAGGCAUUACUGGGUGUAAAGCGCUCGUAGGAGGUAUUGCAAGUCAAGGGUGAAAUCCCCGCGCUAAACGUGGGAACUGCCUUUGAAACUGGCAAACUGGAGUGUGUGAGAGGAUAGUGGAAGUCCAGGUGUAGGAGUGAAAUCCGUAGAUAUCUGGAGGAACAUCAGUGGCGAAGGCGACUAUCUGGCACAUAACUGACGCUGAGGAGCGAAAGCGUGGGUAGCAAACAGGAUUAGAUACCCGAGUAGUC
rnacentral:rRNA from 1 species